ensembl:lncRNA
ACAACCCUCCCUGGUGACCAGGCUUCAUAGAGGGCAUCACAACCCUCAUCACAACCCUCCCUGGUGACCAGGCUUCAUAGAGGGCAUCACAACCCUCCCUGGUGACCAGGCUUCAUAGAGGGCAUCACAACCCUCCCUGGUGACCAGGCUUCAUAGAGGGCAAUCACAACCCUCCCUGGUGACCAGGCUUCAUAGAGGGCAUCACAACCCUCCCUGGUGACCAGGCUUCAUAGAGGGCAUCACAACCCUCCCCGGUGACCAGGCUUCAUAGAGGGCAUCACAACCCUCCCUGGUGACCAGGCUUCAUAGAGGGCAUCACAACCCUCCUCCAUGCCCAUAAGGGAAUGUUGCUGUCUGUCAAGUCGACGAUCAAUAGAAACACAAGGGUUAUUAAUAUAUCAUCAGAAAGACUGCGAUCAUUGAUCCUUCCACAGAAAGAUUUCCCUACUGAGGGAUUGAGGCCAACGUUAAUGUCCAGGAGGAUAUUGAUUGGAUACAAAGGUCUAUGAUAGAUGUAGGUUGUGUGCCAUUUAGGAUGCUAUUUAGGAUGACAUUUAGAAUGCUAUUCAGGAUGCUAUUUAGGGUGCUAUUUAGGAUGCCAUUUAGGGUGCUAUUUAGGGUGCUAUUUAGGAUGCUAUUUAGGAUGAAUUACAUAUAAAAGCUACAAAAUGUCAUUCUCCAUAUGAAAUGCGGAUGGUAUUUGCUAUGGAAAUUAUCUACUGCCAUACACUGUAUGAAGUAUGCAUUCAGCAUUCUCAUACGGGAGGUUCAUCCAGGGAAUCUGUCACAACAUUCUCUUACAGGAGGUUCAUCCAGGGAAUCUGUCACAACAUUCUCUUACGGAAGGUUCUUCCAGGGAAUCUGUCACAACAUUCUCUUACGGAAGGUUCAUCCAGGGAAUCUGUCACAACAUUCUCUUACGGGAGGUUCUUCCAGGGAAUCUGUCACAACAUUCUCUUACGGGAGGUUCUUCCAGGGAAUCUGUCACAACAUUCUCUUACGGAAGGUUCUUCCAGGGAAUCUGUCACAACAUUCUCUUACGGAAGGUUCUUCCAGGGAAUCGGUCACAACAUUCUCUUACGGAAGGUUCAAUGGUUUUUCAUAUUUAAACGAGUUUCUUUGACGUUUUAAACACAAUGGAUAUUUCUUUGCACGUAGAGAGUCUAGGAUUAUGAAGGUAUAUACAUUAAAUGAAUGUACAGUGACCUCACAUAGAUAGGAAAACUACAGUAGAGCUAACAAUGCAGUAAAAAUAUAUCUAAAUGUUCAGACAGAAAGUUCCAGGGUUAGAGAGAACAACCUCACUCUACAGACCAGGGUGAUAUGUUACAUAGCUGUGAACAGGACCUCGUUGGGUUGGCAAAUGGACAUGACAAAUGGGUAUUUUAACGGGCUAACAAGUAUUGGUAGCCGCUGCUGUCAUUAACAACACUGGACCUAUGUUUAAACUCAUGUCUAAAAUGGCAUCCUAUUCCCUACAUAAUGCACUACUUUAGACCGGGACCCUAUCCCCUAUAUAGUGCACUACUUUAGACCAGAGCCCUAUUCCCUAUGUAGUGCACUACUUUAGACCAGGGCCCUAUUCGAUAUAUAGUGCACUACUUUAGACCAGGGCCCUAUUCCCUACAUAGUGCACUACUUUAGACCAGGGCCCUAUUCCCUACAUAGUGCACUACUUUAGACCAGGACCCUAUCCCCUAUAUAGUGCACUACUUCAAACCAGAGCCCUAUUCCCUAUGUAGUGCACUACUUUAGACCAGAGCCCUAUCCCCUAUAUAGUGCACUACUUUAAACCAGAGCCCUAUAUAGUGCACUACUUUAGACCAGAGACCUAUUCCCUAUAUAGUGCACUACUAUAGACCAGAGCCCUAUUCC